ACGGUGGAUGCCCUGGCACUGGAGCCGAUGAAGGACGCGAUUACCUGCGAAAAGCCCCGACGAGCCGGAGAUACGCAUUGACUCGGGGAUAUCCGAAUGGGGAAACCCACCUCGCAUGAGGUACCCCGCAAGGGGAGGGAACUCAGGGAACUGAAACAUCUCAGUACCUGAAGGAAGAGAAAGAGACAUCGAUUCCGUUAGUAGCGGCGAGCG
rnacentral:rRNA from 13 species